AUGUGCAAGGCAUUCUAUGAGCCAGAUAAACGAACAGAUAAACAAACAAGAGUAGAAAUAAUACCUCCAAAAGGCUGUUUGUUAUAUGGACCACCAGGUACAGGGAAAACACUCUUGGCACGAGCUGUGGCUAGCCAGCUGGAUUGCAAUUUCUUAAAGGUUUUAUCUAGUUCUAUAGUAGACAAGUACAUUGGUGAAAGUGCUCGUUUGAUCAGAGAAAUGUUUAAUUAUGCCAGGGACCAUCAGUCAUGCAUCAUUUUUAUGGAUGAAAUAGAUGCUAUUGGAGGUCGUCGGUUUUCUGAGGGUACUUCAGCCGAUAGAGAGAUUCAGAGAACUUUAAUGGAGCUACUGAAUCAAAUGGAUGGAUUUGAUACUCUGCAUAGAGUUAAAAUGAUCAUGGCUACCAACAGACCAGAUACACUGGAUCCUGCUUUGCUUCGUCCAGGCAGAUUAGAUAGAAAAAUACAUAUUGAUUUACCAAACGAACACGCAAGAUUAGAUAUACUGAAAAUCCAUGCAGGUCCCAUUACAAAGCACGGUGAAAUAGAUUAUGAAGCAACUGUGAAGCUUUCAGAUGCCUUUAAUGGAGCAGACCUAAGAAAUGUUUGCACUGAAGCAGGUAUGUUUGCAAUUCGUGCUGAUCAUGAUUUUGUAGUACAGGAAGACUUCAUGAAUGCAGUCAGGAAAGUGGCUGGUUCUAAGAAGCUAGAGUCUAAAUUGGACUACAAACCUGUGUAAUUUACUGUAAGGUUUUUGAUGGCUGCAUAACAUCUCU